GGUGGAAACCAGGCUUCUUGGAAGACUUCAAACUAUGCCAAAUGGUCUGAUUUCACCAUAGAGAAUGAAGAAUUACAAAGAAGGGGAGAAAAAAUAAUAUAAAAGAAACCCUUGUGUGGAUGUGACUUAACUUUUAUCAAACCUUCACAUUUUAAACUGAUAUUUAAGAAAUGCACAGUUGUGUAUAAGCUAUGCGCAGGAGCUGUGGUAGAAGCUGGGCAGAAGGAAGACAAUGGAGGAAAAUGAAGGAUGACAUUUUCGGAGGCAUGUUAAGAAAAUUGCAUGUGGAUGUAUAAUUUUUCAAUUAAAUAUAUAUCUAUAU